GACGAACGCUGGCGGCGUGCUUAACACAUGCAAGUCGAACGGAAAGGCCCUGCUUUUGUGGGGUGCUCGAGUGGCGAACGGGUGAGUAACACGUGAGUAACCUGCCCUUGACUUUGGGAUAACUUCAGGAAACUGGGGCUAAUACCGGAUAGGAGCUCCUGCUGCAUGGUGGGGGUUGGAAAGUUUCGGCGGUUGGGGAUGGACUCGCGGCUUAUCAGCUUGUUGGUGGGGUAGUGGCUUACCAAGGCUUUGACGGGUAGCGGGCCUGAGAGGGUGACCGGCCACAUUGGGACUGAGAUACGGCACAGGCUCCUACGGGAGGCAGCAGUGGGGAAUAUUGCACAAUGGGCGGAAGCCUGAUGCAGCAACGCCGCGUGCGGGAUGACGGCCUUCGGGUUGUAAACCGCUUUCGCCUGUGACGAAGCGUGAGUGACGGUAAUGGGUAAAGAAGCACCGGCUAACUACGUG
rnacentral:rRNA from 1 species